UUUGUUCCCAAACUAUCAGAGUUUACGCGCGAAAGAUGAGAAGUCGAGAGAGUGUAGAGGAGAGUGAUCUGUAAUUGCUUAAGAUGACGACCGUGUUCUUCAUUGGUUUGUGAGGUUUGGGUUGCAACUGCAGUUUAUUUUUAGUCUUACUCUUUGAAACACUUUAAAGAUAAGUGUUCCCGCAACCAAUACCUCUGACAGAGAAGAGUCUUCCUCCAAAGCUGCAAAAUCAAGAUGAAGAAGAUUUAAGUUUGAAUUAAACACAAAUAAAGGUCUUCAUAGUGAGAUUGAAGAUGAAUUUGAAUAUGCCUCCAGAAGGUGAUUUACUUCCACUACCCAAAAUGCAUAAACAAAUUGCACGAUUACAAGCAAACUUGCUUCAGGCAGCCACCAAAGGAGCCGUGAGGAUUAAGCAAAGAAAAGGCACACAUAGAGGAGUGACUUCUAGGAAUAUCUACAACCAUAACGCAAGAGCAAUCUCAAGUGAGCCUUCAAGUUCAGGGACAUAAAGCAAGUAAAAUGCCUCUUCAGGAAUAUGGUUUACUUAAAUAUGAGGGAUUGAAAUUCAAGCAACUAAAAUCUGGCCACAAGUCUUGGAACAAAGAGCACUCUGGCUGAAUUUAUACACAAAAGCUGUACCUCACAUCAGAUUUAAAGGCCAUGGAAUCCUUGGAAGAUACGGGCCCUCUUCCUCUAAAUCUUAUCGAAGAAAGAUUCAAAAUCAGGGAACAGCUUCUCUGUCUUGCAGCCAAGGAAGAAUCUUUCCAGCCCCAAAAGUUCAAAGUGAAAUGGCUUGGAGAAGGAGACGAAAAUACAAGAUUUUACCACAGAGUGCUUUGCCUCCAAGAAAAGGUAAUCCUUUCUAGAGAGGGCCAAAGUUUACUUACAGACAAUGACAUUGGGGCUGAAUUCAUAGAUUUCUAUCAGAAGCUUUAUAUAAAAGAGUGGAUCAGAGGUUUAUUCCAAAAAAUCUCCAUUGGAACCAAAUUCCCAUCGAUCUCAACCAUGAAUUGGAGAAAGAUUUUACUGAAGUAGAAGUUUACAGAGCAGUAAUGAACUCGGGUGCCAGCAAAACCCCUAGGCCAUCUGGUUUUACAGUAGAAUUUUUCAAAAAAAUCAUUGAACAUCAUCAAAGUUGAUAUUAUGGUGAUAUUAUAAGUUCUUUUUAAAAUGGGAUCAUAAACGCUAGCCUCAUCGAAGCCUAUAUAUGUCUUAUUCCCAAGAAAAAGGACGCAAAAUCAGUUCAUGACUACAGACCAUCAGCUUGAUUCCGCCUAUAAAAUUCUUGAAAGAGUUUUAUCAGAGGAUUGAAAGUGGCCUUGCCAUAUGCUAUAUCAGAUUAUCAAUCUGUCUUUGUGGAAGGAAGACAAAUACUAGAUUUGUCUCUUAUGGAGUGCCAUCCGAAAACAAAUGUACCUUAGUGAAGGAGAGAGCUCUUUGUAAAAUUGGGAGGGGUGACAAAAUUAGCUUCUGUAAUGCUUUGUGGGCAAUGGACUCUCCCUUAGCAAAGGCCUUUCCCAAAAUUUUUGCCUUGGCCUCGAACAAAAAUAUUUGGGUCUGCCAAGCUUGGUCCAAUGCGACAAGUUCGUGGACUGGGAUUACCUCUGAUGAGCGCUCCAAGAGGAGGAAAUAGUUGAAUGGAGCACCCUUGGUCACUUAUUACAUAAUUUUUCCCCUGUUUCAUCGUCAGACAAAUGGACUUGGCCAUUUGACCCAACAAAGCAGUUCACAGUUAGCUCCAUAUUUAAGGAAAUUCUGAAAGGGCCCAGUCUUCAUGAAUCUGCAUUCUACGACAUUAUCUGGAGGGAUAACUAUCCAAGGAAAAUUGAUAUUUGCUGCUGGGAGCUUACCCAAAAAGCUGUAAACAGCCAUGAUGUUAUCCAGAAAAGGCUUCCUAAUUUCUCCAUCUCUUCUAGCUCCUGUAUCGUGUGUAGAAAGGCAGAAGAAACACAGUGGCAUCUCUUUAUCUCGUGUGAUUUUGCUAACAGAUUCUGGUGCUUCCUUUUAUCCUCUUUUGAUUGGCAAUAACCCAUGCACAAUGACAUCAGUAGUAUGCUUUAACAUUUUAUGGGAGGGCACCCAUUCAAAGACAACAAAGAAGUUCUUUGGAAUUACCUCAUCAAGGCUUUUCUGUGGAAUCUUUGGAAGGAAAGAAACGACAGAAUCUUCAAUGACAAUUUCCAGCCUUACAACUGAUUUUUGGAUGGAGUUUUGUUUUUGGCUCUUAGCUGGUGCAAAUGCUUUGUAUCUUCCUUCUCUUCUUAUAGAUUAAAUGACCCUUCGAUGAAAUGGUGGACUUUUUUGUAACCUUUCUUGGGGUUUCCCCUCUCUUUUGUAGGUUUCAUAUCAUCAAUAAAAUAUUCUGUUUCUCAUAAA